GGAACAACGCUGGCGGCGUGCCUAACGCAUGCAAGUCGGGCGGGGUCCGCUUUCGGGCGGAUUCAGCGGCGGACGGGUGAGUAGCGCGUGACCGACCUGCCCGCUGGUGGGGGACAACCCCGGGAAACCGGGGCUGAUACCGCAUGAGUCCGGUCGUCCGUGGGGCGGUCGGGGAAAGCCUUUCGGGGCGCCGGCGGAGGGGGUUGCGUCCGAUUAGCUAGUCGGUGGGGUAACGGCCCACCGAGGCGACGAUCGGUCGCGGGUCUGAGAGGACGGCCCGCCACAGGGGGACUGAGACACGGCCCCCACACCUACGGGUGGCAGCAGCGAGGGAUUUUCGGCAAUGGGCGCAAGCCUGACCGAGCAACGCCGCGUGCGGGACGACGCCCCUCGGGGUGUAAACCGCUUUUGCCGGGGGCGAGGAUGACGGUACCCGGCGAAUCAGCCUCGGCUAACUACGUGCCAGCAGCCGCGGUAAGACGUAGGAGGCGAGCGUUGUCCGGAUUUACUGGGCGUAAAGCGCGCGCGGGCGGCCCCGCAGGUCGGCAGUGAAAGCCCCCGGCUCAACCGGGUGGAGGCGGCCGAAACCGCGGGGCUGGAGGGCGAUAGAGGGUGGUGGAAUUCCCGGUGUAGUGGUGAAAUGCGUAGAGAUCGGGAGGAACACCCGCGGCGAAGGCGGCCACCUGGGUCGGCCCUGACGCUGAGGCGCGAAGGCCGGGGGAGCGAACGGGAUUAGAUACCCCGGUAGUCCCGGCAGUAAACGAUGUCGACUGGCCGUCGGGGGCUCGACCCCCUCGGCGGCGGAGCUAACG
rnacentral:rRNA from 1 species